rnacentral:rRNA from 1 species
AUUGAACGCUGGCGGCAGGCCUAACACAUGCAAGUCGAGCGGAUGAAGGGAGCUUGCUCCUGGAUUCAGCGGCGGCCGGGUGAGUAAUGCCUAGGAAUUUGCCUGGUAGUGGGGGAUAACGUCCGGAAACGGGCGCUAAUACCGCAUACGUACUGUGGGUGAAAGUGGGGGAUCUUCGGACCUCAUGCUAUCAGAUGAGCCUAGGUCGAAUGAGCUAGUUGGUGGGGUAAAGGCCUACCAAGGCGGCGAUCGGUAACUGGUCUGAGAGGAUGAUCAGUCACCCUGGAUCUGAGGCACGGUCCAGACUCCGACGGUAGGCAGCAGUGGGGAAUAUUGGACAAUGGGCGAAAGCCGGAUCCAGCCAUGCCGCGUGUGUGAAGAAGGUCUUCUGAUGGUAAAGCACUUUAAGUUGGGAGGAAGGGCAGUAAGUUAAUACCUUGCUGUUUUGACGUUACCAACAGAAUAAGCACCGGCUAACUUCGUG